AUGUGUGUACUACAUCAUGGGCCCCCCUCCGGCCUGGGCCCUGGGCCGUUGCCCCUCUGGCCAUGCCCCAGGGCCGGCCCUGGCAACGGCUGGCUCCUCGCCGCAUUGCCCUACUCUGUCGCCACCGUCGCGCUGCCAUUCCCACCCGCGCCCUUCCUCCCGGCCGGGUGCGGCAAGAACACGAAGGACCUCCAGGUGGACCUCUUCUCGCCGCUCAUGGCGUCCCUGGUGGCCUUCUCGGCGCCACUCCUCUUCUGGUGCAAGGCUCAGCCCCACGCUGUCACGGCCAUUGUCUCCGAUCUGUUCAAGGGGUGGACGCUUUCGCUCGCCCAGCAGCUCGGCAUGCCGCAUGUAGCGUUCUUGCCCGCUAGCGCCCACCAUCUCACCACCACUCGCUCACUCUGUCGUCGCAUGUCGACGGGGCACGACUGGGUGGUUGACUUCCCGAAGCUUCUCGGCUCGCCUAGCUUCCCCUGGCACCUCCUGUCGUGGCUGUUCCGAUGCAUGUAG
rnacentral:rRNA from 1 species